rnacentral:rRNA from 1 species
UGCAUAUCCCAAUAGCGGAGGAAAAGAAACCAACAGGGAUUGCCUCAGUAACGGCGAGUGAAGCGGCAAAAGCUCAAAUUUGAAAUCCCCCCGGGGAGUUGUAAUUUGAAGAUUGCGUCUUGGAGGCGACCGUGUCUAUGUUCCUUGGAACAGGACGUCACAGAGGGUGAGAAUCCCGUGCGGCACGGCCCCCGGCUCCUUAUAAGGCGCUCUCGACGAGUCGAGUUGUUUGGGAAUGCAGCUCAAAGUGGGUGGUAAAUUCCAUCUAAAGCUAAAUACAGGCGAGAGACCGAUAGCGAACAAGUACAGUGAUGGAAAGAUGAAAAGCACUUUGAAAAGAGAGUGAAACAGCACGUGAAAUUGUUGAAAGGGAAGGGCAUGCCGUCAGAUUGUCAGUGUGGGUAAGAAGCGGGGUACAAAGACUGUGGAACGUGGCCCUCGGGUGUUAUAGCCGCAGUUCAUGCCCCGUCUCUUUCCGAGGCCUGCUUUGAGGACACCGACGUAAUGACGGUACGCCGCCCGUCUUGA